UUUUAGGAUAUCUCUAUGUCUAGUGACAUGUUAUCUGCAGACAGUGACGUUUUUACUUCUUCUUUUCCAACCUGGAUUCCUUUUAUUUCUUUUUCUUCUCUGAUUGCUGUGGCUAGGACUUCCAAAACUAUGUUGAAUAAAAGUGGAGAGAGUGGACAUCCUUAUCUUG